UCGAGGAUCAUUCGCAAUGGGCGAAAGCCUGACGAUGCGACGCUGCGUGGAGGAUGAAGGCCCUCGGGUUGUAAACUCCUGUCAUGAGGGAAGAGGAGAGUGUCACUAACAUUGACGCGAUUUGACGGUACCUCAAGAGGAAGCCACGGCUAAUUCUGUGCCAGCAGCCGCGGUAAUACAGAGGUGGCGAGCGUUGUUCGGAUUUACUGGGCGUAAAGGGCGCGUAGGCGGCCGCGUGUGUCGGGUGUGAAAUCCCAGGGCUCAACCCUGGAAGUGCGCCCGAAACUGCGCGGCUCGAGUGCGGGAGGGGAGAUCGGAAUGCAGGGUGUAGCGGUGAAAUGCGUUGAUAUCCUGCAGAACACCGGUGGCGAAGGCGGCUUUCUGGACUGACACUGACGCUGAGGCACGAAAGCGUGGGGAGCAAACA
rnacentral:rRNA from 1 species